UGAACUCCAGUUCUUGUGGUUGCCGCUGCUGCGGCGGCCAACACUGCUAGGGCCAGUGAUGCCAGUGCUGCUGAGGAAUGAUUCUUUCACCAACCAGUGGCAACAGAACCUCAGCCCUUGAAGGUCAACGCAUUAUUGCUUUUACCGUCAGAAGUUUAAAUCUUCAGGGGGAGAAAUGAAGCAGAGCAGUGCUCAAGGAAUGUUUACAGCUAAGGAGGCUCUAUGGAGGAUUGCCUGAAGGACAUGAAGUCCAUCCAUCUCUCCAGAUACUUUAAAUGGCAUCUCAAGAUCAAGACCUUCAAGCAUAGAAAAAUGACUGAAACAAGACAACAGCAGAUUUCGCUUUUGUGUACUGAACUUGAAGUAAGAAUCUGGUGGGUGACGUCAUGCCAAUCAAGCUGGGUGGCACACAAAUAAAGGCAAUGAACG
rnacentral:lncRNA from 1 species